rnacentral:rRNA from 1 species
CGUGUGGGGCAGCUCGCCCGUUUCCUCUCUCCGGAGGGGAGRCCGUAGCCCUCAUGCCCCCGGUCCGAGAUGGCGUCCUGAGCUCCUCUGCCCUCACGGGCGGAGGGUCAGGCGUUUGCCGAUCAGCCGUUGU